GACGAAGGGGGCUAGCGUUGUUCGGAAUUACUGGGCGUAAAGGGCGCGUAGGCGGCUCUAUAAGUCAGGCGUGAAAGCCCUGGGCUCAACCUGGGAGUGGCGCUUGAUACUGUGGGGCUAGAGAGUGGGAGAGGUUGGUGGAAUUCCCAGUGUAGAGGUGAAAUUCGUAGAUAUUGGGAAGAACACCGGUGGCGAAGGCGGCCAACUGGACCAUUUCUGACGCUGAGGCGCGAAAGCGUGGGGAGCAAAC
rnacentral:rRNA from 1 species